GCGCGCGUGGUGAAAUUGGUAGACACGCCAGGUUUAGGUCCUGGUGCCGGAAACGGUGUGGGGGUUCGAGUCCCUCCGCGCGCA
rnacentral:tRNA from 1 species